rnacentral:rRNA from 1 species
UCCAAUUAAAAUAUGUGUUUCAAGGUUUCCGAAUMUUYYUCAGUWAYCACKKGUUAMCUGSCCUGUGAUGGGGGWAURABMUCGGAAAAYGASAACHAUACCCCAUUUCCMCUACGMCUGSAASGGUGAGUGGAUGAAAGCCCCCGCCGCCRCAKGAUKSGCCURCCGUSUAAUCMGUUSUAGGGGGUGUAAAGUACCCUCUAGCCUUCGACGCGUACKGGUUGUGAGAGCAAUAGCCCGGAGAUGGAUUCUGAGACACGAAUCCAGGUCCUACGGGACGCAGCAGUCGCGAAACCUUGACAAUGCGGGAAACCGUGAUCAGGGGACUCCAAGUGCCAGGAGUAAGAUCCUGUGCUUUUCUUUUCUCUUCAAAGGAUUUGGAAUAAGAGGUGGGUAAGGACGGUGCCAGCCGCCGCGGUAAUACCGGCGCCUCGAGUGGUAGUCGAUUUUAUUGGGCCUAAAACGUCCGUCGCCGGUCUGGUGCAUUCGUGGGUAAAUCAACCCGCUCAACGGGUUGAAUUCUGCGAGCACGGCCAGACUAGGGACCGGGAGAGGUGUGGGGUACGCUCGGGGUAGGGGUAAAAUCCUGUCAUCCCGAGCGGACCACCUGUUGCGAAGGCUCCACACUAGAACGGAUCCGACGGUCAGGGACGAAGCCUAGGGGCACGAACCGGAUUAGAUACCCGGGUAGUCCUAGGUGUAAACGCUGUGGACUUGGUGUUGGGAGCUCCCAGAGGGCUCUCAGUGCCGUAGCGAAGGUGAUAAGUCCACUGCCUGGGGAGUACGGUCGCAAGGCUGAAACUUAAAGGAAUUGGCGGGGGAACACCGCAACCUGAGGAUUGUGCGGUUUAAUUGG